CAUAUUUUUACUUUUAAUUAAUUUGGAACUAGUUUAAAGUUGCUAGCUCAAAAACUUUAGUGUGGGCACACAUGUAGAUAUUUCUUCUGGGAAUGUUCCACUGAUACAUCGAUACAAGUUUGGUUUUUUGCUAGAAAGAAAGCAGAUUUUGAACCUGAAUUUGGAUAGCAGCAUCUGAUCAAUCCUUAACUCUAAGUUUAAGCAUGAAUUAUGAUUAAAUUGCAGCUGCAGUUUCCAAUUGUACUUCUAUUACAAUUCUUUUUCCCUUUUCAUUUACUGGUAGGCAGAUUUUUGUUAACAUUUAAAUGACUUGUAGUAAUUAUUAUGUAAUUUUUUAAUUUUGGUGUGCAAAAUUAGUUCAGUAAGUCAACAUCAGAUAUUUUCCAGAUUAAUGGGUGUUUUGGAUAAUG
rnacentral:misc_RNA from 1 species